rnacentral:tRNA from 1 species
GCCUAGAUACCUCAGAUGGUUAGAGCAUGGUGCUGAUAACACUGAGGUUGCAGGUUCUAUCCCUGUAUGGGGCA